AAGCUCCUUGAGCACAAAUAUACGUCAGAUUCAUCAUUAAAUUCAUCAUAAUUCCAGGACCAAAAGCUCAAAUUGGACAAUUUGCAGUCCCCAAAAGAAAAUAUUCAUUAAAUGAUUGAGGUGUAUCUGGUACUGUGCCUAUGCUGGCAUGAUACACUGAACAACAUAAAUACUCAUCCCAGCUCUAAUGGACAUUUCACCAGAGAGAAAGUCAAGAAAAUAAUUACCUCCGUGAUGAUUAUCCUGCAGGAGAGACUUCAGAUAAUAUGAAGGUGAGGAACUGGAGUAAACAUCUCCAUCUACCGCAUCUUGCAUGUUGAACUUAACAAGCUAAAGGUUUGAGGGAUCACUUUGAGAUGCUGGAAGUCCCAGAAUAUUCCUUC